UACGUAGGGUGCGAGCGUUAAUCGGAAUUACUGGGCGUAAAGCGUGCGCAGGCGGAUUGUUAAGCAAGAUGUGAAAUCUCCGGGCUUAACCUGGGAAUGGCAUUUUGAACUGGCAAUCUAGAGUGUGUCAGAGGGGGGUAGAAUUCCACGUGUAGCAGUGAAAUGCGUAGAGACGUGGAGGAACACCGAUGGCGAAGGCAGCGUCCUGGGCCAGCACUGACGCUCAUGCACGAAAGCGUGGGGAGCAAACAGG
rnacentral:rRNA from 1 species